rnacentral:rRNA from 1 species
GAUGAACGCUGGCGGCGUGCUUAACACAUUCAAGUCGUACGAACUGAUUCUGAAGCUUGCUUCGGAAGAAAGUUAGUGGCGGACGGGUGAGUAACGCGUGAGCAACCUGCCUUUGUGAGGGGGAUAACACAGGGAAACUUGUGCUAAUACCGCAUGAUGCAUAUGAAAGACAUCUUUAGUAUGUUAAAGGAGCAAUCCGCACAAAGAUGGGCUCGCGUCUGAUUAGAUAGUUGGUGGGGUAACGGCCUACCAAGUCGACGAUCAGUAGCCGGACUGAGAGGUUGAACGGCCACAUUGGAACUGAGAAACGGUCCAGACUCCUACGGGAGGCAGCAGUGGGGAAUAUUGGGCAAUGGGCGAAAGCCUGACCCAGCGACGCCGCGUGAGGGAAGAAGGUCUUCGGAUUGUAAACCUUUGUAGACAGGGAAGAAGAAAGUAGACGGUACCUGUAAAGUAAGCCACGGCUAACUACGUG